GACGAACGCUGGCGGCGCGCCUAACGCAUGCAAGUCGAACGGUGAAGAGGAGCUUGCUCCUCGGAACAGUGGCGGACGGGUGAGUAACACGUGAGCAACCUGGCUCUAAGAGGGGGACAACAGUUGGAAACGACUGCUAAUACCGCAUGACGUAUCGGGAUGGCAUCUUCCUGAUACCAAAGAUUUUAUCGCUUAGAGAUGGGCUCGCGUCUGAUUAGAUAGUUGGCGGGGUAACGGCCCACCAAGUCGACGAUCAGUAGCCGGACUGAGAGGUUGAACGGCCACAUUGGGACUGAGACACGGCCCAGACUCCUACGGGAGGCAGCAGUGGGGGAUAUUGGACAAUGGGGGCAACCCUGAUCCAGCGACGCCGCGUGAGGGAAGAAGGUUUUCGGAUUGUAAACCUCUGUUGACGGAGAAAAAAAUGAUGGUAUCCGUUUAGAAAGCCACGGCUAACUACGU
rnacentral:rRNA from 1 species